CACCGUCCUGUAAUUAUGAACAUUUUAAUUUUAAAAAUAAAAAUGAAUUUUAAUUAUUUUUAAUUACAAAAGUGGCUCCCCAUCCAAUGAAGGUGCCAAUGUCGGAAGGAGCUUCUGUCGCCUCGUUGUACGGGAUAAAGUUGACGUUGGUGCUAAAUUCGAUGGGUGAAGACGUCUAAGGGAAACGCCAAUCAAGUUUACCAUAAUUGCACCCCAGCCCAUGACCUCGGCGGAAGUAUAGGUGUCAUUCACUUCGUCGUAAUAACUGAAGUUGACGUAGAGCCCGUAAGUUAUUGGUUGAUUCAACUUGAUGAGCGCUAGAUCGUUGGUGCGGUACGUUUCAUUGUACUCUGGAUUGAUGUAGAAGGUACGCGCCUGAAUGCGGUUCUCCUCCGGAUCCUGCAGGAUUAGUGAAUAUUGGGCGACGACCACCGCUACAUCCCAUUCCGAUCUCCUUUUUUUUAACAGGCUGCACUGCAAGCUGGCGGUUGUUGGCCAGCAUUCCGGUUCAACCACGCAUAAUAAGAGGACAGUCGAGUAUAAAGUGUCGGCAAGAAUAGCUCUUUGCAUCCUGUAUUUCUCGAUGCAACUCCGACGACGAUAUUGUCUUGAACUAGCGGCGACCCUUCGUCGUAGUGACAAGGACUGGCAGUAUCACUACCUGCGCAGAUCAUGUAGUUGGGUUGAUACUCUUCGCUACCGUAGAUAACGCACUCGGUCGAUAUAGUAACGCUGGCUUUCAGUAAAUCAAUCGAAGGCAAUCCUCCUUCCUA